rnacentral:pre_miRNA from 1 species
GGAUUUUCGAAUCCGUACUGAGAUUUCGUCAGAUACCAGACCAUUAGGGCUGAUCAGACUUCCAAGAUAAGUGAAGUU